GAUGAACGCUGGCGGCGUGCCUAAUACAUGCAAGUCGAACGGGGAGUCGCAAUACUCUUAGUGGCGAACGGGUGAGUAACGCGUUGGUACCUGCCCCGAAGCGGGUGAUAACGGACCGAAAGGUCCGCUAAUACCCCAUGUGCUCGGUAACGAGUAAAGGUGAAAACCACUUUGGGAGGGGCCUGCGUCCCAUCAGCUAGUUGGUAAGGUAACGGCUUACCAAGGCGAUGACGGGUAGGGGACCUGAGAGGGUGGCCCCCCACAAUGGAACUGAAACACGGUCCAUACACCUACGGGUGGCAGGAGUAGGGAAUAUUGGUAAUGGGCGCAAGCCUGAACCAGCAACGCCGCGUGUGCGAUGACGGCCUUCGGGUUGUAAAGCACUUUUGACUGGGACGAGGAAGGACGGUACCGGUCGAAUCAGCCUCGGCUAACUACGUG
rnacentral:rRNA from 1 species